GGGGAAUUAGCUCAGAUGGGAGAGCGCCGCCUUUGCACGGCGGAGGUCGGGGGUUCGAAUCCCCCAUUCUCCA
rnacentral:tRNA from 1 species